rnacentral:sRNA from 1 species
AUCUUUGCCAUACUAGAACCGGUAUUAUAUAUAGACAUUAUAUUUGGUCCGGUGAAGGAAAAGAAAACUGGAAGUUAGUGUCUUUAAAGACAAUAAUAUACCCGAUACACACAGGGGCUGUUUGUGUGUAUUAGAGCUUUACCCAGGGACGUAUUGAUGGACUGUAUAAAUAUGUAGCUGUCAUGUUAACCGGAACACUGGAAUAGGUGGUCUUGGAAUUGUAUCCGAGAUCGAUGAGAUCAGUAAAGUGCAAAUAACACUUGCUUAGUACUCACUGACUUCCGAAUUUUUUUUUUGGCACGAAAGCAAUGUGGUUCAUCAUUAUGGUCACCCCCGCAUCGGUGAACAAUUAUUCUUCUCUUACUAGAUUAAUUUCAAUUGGUCUCUUUUUCGUGACAGGAAAGUGUUAAAUUUAAAGAUGAAAAAACCUCAGGUGCACUUAGAGAGGUUGAAACGGAGCAGUACUCCGUACGGUUUCUUACAUAAUUGGUAAAAUGUUAGUACAGUUCCUUCUUUAAGGGUAAAUCCUUCAAUUGUUGGGAGCAUUCACCAUUGAAAAAAUAUGCAUCCUAAUUAUGAAAAAGACUGGAUUUCCGUAUGCGUGUAUUAUUUUUUGUUUUAUUUUGGAAAGCAUGUCAUGAGUGCGAAAUCUAAACAAAGAUUGCUAUUAUUUGAUUUGAUAUAUACAAUGUUGUGGUAUAGUUCCUAAGAUUAAAUGUUUUGUAUUUAUCAAAUUCUCUGAAAAUCAAAAAUAAAGAGUUUUCUCUCCUUUUC